CGCCUUUAAGAAAGCUUUACUACGGCUUUGUGAAAUUAAUGACCACAAAAAUAUAAGAAUUAGGCGAUAUGAAUUUUCAUGGUUAACUAAGUGACUCUGGA